rnacentral:lncRNA from 1 species
GAGUCGGGAACAACGGCGCCUCGGAGCAGCAUCCCUGCAACCACGAUCCUGAUGGGUGUUGGGAAGAGAAAAUGUGCUUUUCCGAAAAAACCUAAAAAUCGUGGCUCUUGUUAUUCUGUUCCCUGUAGUGGAUCAACUGAAGCUCAGUUGGGAACUCCCAGGCAUAGUGCCCCUGCUUCCUCUACCUGCCAGAAGGAAGGCUGGAACUUGGGCCUCGCUUGUACAAAUGGCGAGUGCUGCCUGCUGUGUGGCUGCCCUCAGGACGGGCUUUGGUGAGGGCAGCACAGCCCUGGAGGAGCCUGGUCUGACAUGGGGCCCGUCUGGGAUCACUGUUGGGCCUUCAACCGUCUGGAGCCUCUAUGUCUUCCUCUGAUAGAUUCCCAGAACAAUCA